CGGAGGGGGCUAGCGUUAUUCGGAAUCAUUGGGCGUAAAGGGCGCGUAGGCGGCGCGGUAAGUCAAAGGUGAAAUCCCUCGGCUCAACUGAGGAACUGCCUUUGAAACUGUCGUGCUUGAGUCCGGGAGGGGGUAGCGGAAUUCCCAGUGUAGCGGUGAAAUGCGUAGAUAUUGGGAGGAACACCAGUGGCGAAGGCGGCUACCUGGACCGGUACUGACGCUGAUGCGCGAAAGCGUGGGGAGCAAACAGGAUUAGAUACCCUGGUAGUCCACGCUGUAAACGAUGGGUGCUCGGUGUCGCGGGUAUCGACCCCUGCGGUGCCUUAGCUAACGCGUUAAGCACCCCGCCUGGGGAGUACGGUCGCAAGGCUG
rnacentral:rRNA from 1 species